AUUGAACGCUGGCGGCAUGCCUUACACAUGCAAGUCGAACGGCAGCAUAGGAGCUUGCUCCUGAUGGCGAGUGGCGAACGGGUGAGUAAUAUAUCGGAACGUGCCCUAGAGUGGGGGAUAACUAGUCGAAAGAUUAGCUAAUACCGCAUACGAUCUACGGAUGAAAGUGGGGGAUCGCAAGACCUCAUGCUCCUGGAGCGGCCGAUAUCUGAUUAGCUAGUUAGUGGGGUAAAAGCCUACCAAGGCGACGAUCAGUAGCUGGUCUGAGAGGACGACCAGCCACACUGGGACUGAGACACGGCCCAGACUCCUACGGGAGGCAGCAGUGGGGAAUUUUGGACAAUGGGGGCAACCCUGAUCCGGCAAUGCCGCGUGAGUGAAGAAGGCCUUCGGGUUGUAAAGCUCUUUUGUCAGGGAAGAAACGGUUCUGGAUAAUACCCAGAGCUAAUGACGGUACCUGAAGAAUAAGCACCGGCUAACUACGUGCCAGCAGCCGCCGUAA
rnacentral:rRNA from 1 species